rnacentral:piRNA from 1 species
UAAAAGUUCAUAACAUCCCCAACAACAGC